rnacentral:rRNA from 1 species
AUUGAACGCUGGCGGCAGGCCUAACACAUGCAAGUCGAACGGUAACAGGAAGCAGCUUGCUGCUUUGCUGACGAGUGGCGGACGGGUGAGUAAUGUCUGGGAAACUGCCUGAUGGAGGGGGAUAACUACUGGAAACGGUAGCUAAUACCGCAUAACGUCGCAAGACCAAAGAGGGGGACCUUAGGGCCUCUUGCCAUCGGAUGUGCCCAGAUGGGGUUAGCUAGUAGGUGGGGUAACGGCUCACCUAGGCGACGAUCCCUAGCUGGUCUGAGAGGAUGACCAGCCACACUGGAACUGAGACACGGUCCAGACUCCUACGGGAGGCAGCAGUGGGGAAUAUUGCACAAUGGGCGCAAGCCUGAUGCAGCCAUGCCGCGUGUAUGAAGAAGGCCUUCGGGUUGUAAAGUACUUUCAGCGGGGAGGAAGGGAGUAAAGUUAAUACCUUUGUUCAUUGACGUUACCCGCAGAAGAAGCACCGGCUAACUCCGUG